CUGCUUUCAUUGUUCUGUGUGAUUUCUACAUUAUUAUUGAUAUAAUGGGUUUGAUGUAGUUUGGAUUUAGGAUGAGCUGUGUGGUUUGUAUAAGCUUCGUGAAUGAAUACAUCUGAAUUGUAAAGAAAAGACGUGAACUUCAAGAUUAUUAGAUUAAUGUUAAUGAUGUUGGUACAUUAUUCUAUUCCAGAUAAGAUGGGAGGUUUUCUUUUUCUUUUAAAAAAAGAUUGAAUUAAAUUUGUGUGUAGAAAAAAAGUAAAAAAGUAAAAAAUAAUUAAAUGCUUAUACAAGAAUUUCAUAUUUUUAGAAUAUACAAAAAUCUAUUGAAUGGUUUAAAAUAACUUUGAAAUAAAUAUUUGUGCUUUUUGACUUUCAU
rnacentral:lncRNA from 1 species